rnacentral:tRNA from 1 species
GCCUGGCUGGCUCAGUUGGUAGAGCAUGUGACUCUUGAUCUUGGGGUCAUGAGUUCCAGCCCCACGUUGGGUG